CAGUGCUGUCAGAAAAAGACUGUCAGUGUGUGUGUGCACUUUACUGACAUUUUCAAUCAAAAUUAAAAGAAAAUUGAAAAGCAUAGCAAAGCAGAAUAUAAAGCAAACGGCUUUAAAACUAACAAAUUAAUCGUACAAUAAACAUUUCCCAGCACAAAGAUGGAGAACAAUGAAGCGCCCGCACCUUCUGGAUCCAAUAAUAAUGAUUUUCCCAUACUUCCGCCACCGCCGAACAACAACAACUUUCACGACAUGAACAACAGCAACAACAACGCCGCACAGAAGCGUCUGCAGCAGACACAGGCCAAAGUGGACGAGGUCGUCGGCAUAAUGCGUGUCAAUGUCGAGAAGGUCCUCGAACGUGACCAGAAAUUGUCGGAGCUCGGCGAACGAGCCGAUCAAUUGGAACAGGGUGCCUCACAGUUCGAGCAACAGGCCGGCAAACUGAAGCGCAAGCAAUGGUGGGCCAACAUGAAGAUGAUGAUCAUUCUGGGCGUCAUUGCUGUCGUCUUGCUCAUCAUUAUCAUAGUCUCGAUAUACAAUUGAUAAACAAGACACAAGAAAACCAAUAGAUAAACAUGCAACAAGGCAACUUGUUGAGCUUACAACAUACGCAUAACUCUAAGGCAGCUAUUACCACACACACAUUCAAUAUAUAUAUUUAUAUGUGUAUUAAUAUUUAACGCAAAUGAUAUACAACUUUAAACAAUUUAGUUUAAGAAAAGUGAGCGCUUUGCCAUCGAGCAGCAGCAGCAACAGCACCUCCGAUCAUGGCACGUAAGACGCCCUUUGCCACGCCCCCAAGGAAAAAACAUUCAACAAAAAGAGAGAAAAAAAAAGGAAAAUGGGAAAAAAAACUCGGUUGCCUUCGUUCAGGCCUUAAGCGUAAAAAGAAAAACAAAAAUAAUAUGAAAACUGUGUCUAAAACUAUGUAUUAACACUAAAACAAAUUGUACUAUUAUUAUUAAUAUUCUUAAAUGUUAAACAAACAUUAUUUUCACAUAUAUAUGUAUUGUAAACGCAACAAUAAUGCCAACCCUCAGUUGGCAUUAAUAAGUAAAUCGAUGAAAGAAACAAUAAUAAUAAUAAUGUGGCAUUUGAAAUGUCAAUGUGUGUGUGUGAGUGCGUGUAUGUGAGAGGGUUUUCCUUUUGCAGUUAAAACAGUUAAACAUUUUGCAUAUUUAUAUAUAUACUUAUGUACACAAGGCACACACGCACAACACAAUUUUAUACACAUUGUUCUAUAAAUUAUUUAUAUUUAUGUGGAACUUUAUAUACAUAUAUACUUUAUAUACAAUGGCAUGUAAUUUGUUAUAAACGUUUUUUCGGUGUUUAACUAAAUGUAAUACAACGUACGUUUGCCACAAA